UUGAAAGGAUGAGAUUAGGUCCGUGUUCCUGAAUAAUUUCUGAUGUAACUUGACCUUCUGAUCAA
rnacentral:snoRNA from 1 species